AGCUGGUCUAAAGGUAGUUAUUCUCGCUGACUGUUUACAGUUAGUUAGACUAUUCACAGUUAGUUACACAUCAAACUCCUUGUUCAACUCUUUCCUCCUUCUCACUACUACACUUGACUACUCUUGA
rnacentral:Y_RNA from 1 species